rnacentral:rRNA from 1 species
AGCAGCCGCGGUAAUUCCAGCUCCAAUAGCGUAUAUUAAAGUUGUUGCAGUUAAAAAGCUCGUAGUUGAAUUUCAGGGUCUGUCCAUUGGUCGGGCUUUACGGUCCGUACUGGUGUGAUGGGUUCCUACCUUCUGAAUAACCAGCAUGCCAUUUAGUUGGUGCGCCGGGGAAGCAGAGCUAUUACCUUGAAAAAAUUAGAGUGCUUAAAGCAGGCUAGUGCUUGAAUAGAUUAGCAUGGAAUAAUAAAAUAGGACGGCAUGGUUCUAUUUUGUUGGUUUCUAGGAUCACCGUAAUGAUUAAUAGGGAUAGUUGGGGGCAUUAGUAUUCAAUUGUCAGAGGUGAAAUUCUUGGAUUUAUUGAAGACUAACUUCUGCGAAAGCAUUUGCCAAGGAUGUUUUCAUUAAUCAAGAACGAAAGUUAGGGGAUCGAAGACGAUCAGAUACCGUCGU